GCAGUCGAGCGGCAGCGGGGGUGCUUGCACCUGCCGGCGAGCGGCGAACGGGUGAGUAAUACAUCGGAACGUACCCAUGUGGUGGGGGAUAACUACUCGAAAGAGUAGCUAAUACCGCAUACGCCCUGAGGGGGAAAGCGGGGGAUUCUUCGGAACCUCGCGCCAUUGGAGCGGCCGAUGUCGGAUUAGCUAGUAGGUGGGGUAAAGGCUCACCUAGGCGACGAUCCGUAGCUGGUCUGAGAGGAUGAUCAGCCACACUGGGACUGAGACACGGCCCAGACUCCUACGGGAGGCAGCAGUGGGGAAUUUUGGACAAUGGGCGCAAGCCUGAUCCAGCCAUGCCGCGUGAGUGAAGAAGGCCUUCGGGUUGUAAAGCUCUUUCAGUCGGGAAGAAAAGGCGCGCUCUAACAUAGCGCGCUCAUGACGGUACCGACAGAAGAAGCACCGGCUAACUACGUGCCAGCAGCCGCGGUAAUACGUAGGGUGCGAGCGUUAAUCGGAAUUACUGGGCGUAAAGCGUGCGCAGGCGGUUGUGUAAGACAGGUGUGAAAUCCCCGGGCUUAACCUGGGAACUGCGCUUGUG
rnacentral:rRNA from 1 species